UACGUAGGGGGCGAGCGUUGUCCGGAUUUAUUGGGCGUAAAGAGCGUGUAGGCUGCAAGGUAGGUCUGCUGUGAAAACUCGAGGCUCAACCUCGAGACGUCGGCGGAAACCAUCUGGCUAGAGUCCGGAAGAGGAGAGUGGAAUUCCUGGUGUAGCGGUGAAAUGCGCAGAUAUCAGGAGGAACACCAAUGGCGAAGGCAGCUCGCUGGGACGGUACUGACGCUGAGGCGCGAAAGCGUGGGUAGCAAACAGG
rnacentral:rRNA from 1 species